UACGUAGGGUGCGAGCGUUUGUCCGGAAUUAUUGGGCGUAAAGGGCUCGUAGGCGGUCUGUCACGUCGGGAGUGAAAACUCAGGGCUUAACCCUGAGCCUGCUUCCGAUACGGGCAGACUAGAGGUAUGCAGGGGAGAAUGGAAUUCCUGGUGUAGCGGUGAAAUGCGUAGAUAUCUGGAGAACACCGGUGGCGAAGGCGGCAUCCUGGACCGAUAUUGACGCUGAUGCGCGAAAAGCCGGGGAGCAAAGC
rnacentral:rRNA from 1 species